rnacentral:rRNA from 1 species
AUUGAACGCUGGCGGCAUGCCUACACAUGCAAGUCGAACGGUAACAGGUCUUCGGAUGCUGACGAGUGGCGAACGGGUGAGUAAUACAUCGGAACGUGCCUAGUAGUGGGGGAUAACUACUCGAAAGAGUGGCUAAUACCGCAUGAGAUCUACGGAUGAAAGCAGGGGAUAGCAAGACCUUGUGCUACUAGAGCGGCCGAUGGCAGCUUAGGUAGUUGGUGGGAUAAAAGCUUACCAAGCCGACGAUCUGUAGCUGGUCUGAGAGGACGAUCAGCCACACUGGGACUGAGACACGGCCCAGACUCCUACGGGAGGCAGCAGUGGGGAAUUUUGGACAAUGGGCGAAAGCCUGAUCCAGCAAUGCCGCGUGCAGGAUGAAGGCCUUCAGGUUGUAAACUGCUUUUGUACGGAACGAAAAGCCCCGGGUUAAUACCCUGGGGUCAUGACGGUACCGUAAGAAUAAGCACCGGCUAACUACGUGCCAGCCGCCGCCGUAA